rnacentral:tRNA from 1 species
GGCGCCAUCGUCUAUCGGCUAGGACACUGCCCUUUCAAGGCGGUAAGACGGGUUCGACUCCCGUUGGCG